UACAGAGGGUGCGAGCGUUGUUCGGAAUUACUGGGCGUAAAGGGCGCGUAGGCGGUUAUAUAAGUCGCGUGUGAAAUCCCUGAGCUUAACUCAGGAAUAGCAUUCGAUACUGUAUGACUAGAGUUCGAGAGAGGAAAGAGGAAUUCCCAGUGUAGAGGUGAAAUUCAUAGAUAUUGGGAGGAACACCAGAAGCGAAGGCGACUUUCUGGCUCGCAACUGACGCUGAGGCGCGAAAGCGUGGGGAUCAAACAGG
rnacentral:rRNA from 1 species